AAGAAAAACGAUCGGUUGGAUUGGUUUAACCGAAAAUCCCAGCUCCCCAGGACAGUUAAUACGUUGUCGUUUGAAAAACAAUACUUUGGGAGAGUCCACGAAAGAAAAAUAGAUCAAGAGAGAGAUUGUUUGUGUGUGUUGGGGAAAAGAUAAGAAAGAAUGGGAGCAGAAGAUGGAGAGAUUCGUCAAGGCAGCGAUCAAACUACACAGGUCGCAAUUUCGAGAGACCAAUUCCUCGCGUGGAAGCGCCAAAAGGACGCUGAAUCAUCAGCUAAACAAGCUGAAGCAGCUAGGAAACGCGAAGAGGACAUAGCAGCAGGCCGUGUCCCUAUGAAUGGCCGAGAGCUUUUCUUGCACCAGCCUUGGGUUUUCGACGACACUCACCUCUAGAUUCUUCUGGUGACUCCGGUUAGGUACACGAUUUGUUCCAUCAUGCAGACACCAUUUUUAAUUCUCAUUGGUGAUUCAAACAAGAUCAGUGGAAGAUCAGUGAUCCAACUCUGUUUCUCUUGUGUUUUUGUACUUAUUUUUCCAUGUUGUUUCAGUUAGUUGGAUAUUGCGACUGUUUAUUAUUUUGGAGAUUUUGAUCA